AUUGAACGCUGGCGGCAGGCCUAACACAUGCAAGUCGAGCGGAGGAAGGGAGCUUGCUCCUGGAUUCAGCGGCGGACGGGUGAGUAAUGCCUAUGAAUCUGCCUGGGAGUGGGGGAUAACGUCCGGAAACGGGCGCUAAUACCGCAUACGUCCUGAGGGAGAAAGUGGGGGAUCGUCGGACCUCACGCUAUCAGAUGAGCCUAGGUCGGUUUAGCUAGUUGGUGGGGUAAAGGCCUACCAAGGCGACGAUCCGUAACUGGUCUGAGAGGAUGAUCAGUCACACUGGAACCGAGACACGGUCCAGACUCCUACGGGAGGCAGCAGUGGGGAAUAUUGGACAAUGGGCGAAAGCCUGAUCCAGCCAUGCCGCGUGUGUGAAGAAGGUCUUCGGAUUGUAAAGCACUUUAAGUUGGGAGGAAGGGCAGUAAGUUAAUACCUUGCUGUUUUGACGUUACCAACAGAAUAAGCACCGGCUAACUUCGUG
rnacentral:rRNA from 1 species